GAUGAACGCUGGCGGCGUGCCUAAUACAUGCAAGUCGAGCGAACAGACGAGGAGCUUGCUCCUCUGACGUUAGCGGCGGACGGGUGAGUAACACGUGGAUAACCUACCAAUAAGACUGGGAUAACUUCGGGAAACCGGAGCUAAUACCGGAUAAUAUAUUGAACCGCAUGGUUCAAUAGUGAAAGACGGUUUUGCUGUCACUUAUAGAUGGAUCCGCGCCGCAUUAGCUAGUUGGUAAGGUAACGGCUUACCAAGGCAACGAUGCGUAGCCGACCUGAGAGGGUGAUCGGCCACACUGAAACUGAGACACGGUCCGGCCUCCAACGGGAGGCAGAAGUAGGGAAUCUUCCGCAAUGGGCGAAGGCCUGACGGGGCAACGCCGCGGGGGGGAUGAAGGUCUUCGGAUCGUAAACCCCUGUUAUUAGGAAAGAAAAAAUGUGUAGGUAACUAUGCACGUCUUGACGGUACCAAAUCAGAAAGCCACGGCUAACUACGU
rnacentral:rRNA from 1 species